rnacentral:rRNA from 1 species
CCUACGGGUGGCAGCAGUGAGGAAUAUUGGUCAAUGGUCGGGAGACUGAACCAGCCAAGCCGCGUGAGGGAGGAAGGUACAGAGUAUCGUAAACCUCUUUUGUCAGGGAACAAAGACUGGGACGCGUCCCCGGAUGAGUGUACCUGAAGAAAAAGCAUCGGCUAAUUCCGUGCCAGCAGCCGCGGUAAUACGGAGGAUGCGAGCGUUAUCCGGAUGUAUAGGGUUAAAAGGGUGCGCAGGCGGUCAGUUCAGGCAGCGGUCAAAGCCCGGGGCUCAACCCCGGCCCGCCGUUGAAACUGGCAGUCUCGAGUUGGAGAGAAGUAUGCGGAAUGCGCGGUGUAGCGGUGAAAUGCAUAGAUAUCGCGCAGAACUCCGAUUGCGAAGGCAGCAUGCCGGCUCCACACUGACGCUGAGGCACGAAAGCGUGGGUAUCGAACAGGAUUAGAUACCCGAGUAGUC